rnacentral:rRNA from 1 species
UACGAAGGGGGCUAGCGUUGUUCGGAAUCACUGGGCUUAAAGGGUGCGUAGGCGGCUUUGCAAGUUGGGUGUGAAAGCCCUCGGCUCAACCGAGGAAUUGCGCUCAAUACUGCCGAGCUUGAGAGAGACAGAGGUAAGCGGAACUAAUGGUGGAGCGGUGAAAUGCGUUGAUAUCAUUAGGAACACCGGUGGCGAAGGCGGCUUACUGGGUCUUUUCUGACGCUGAGGCACGAAAGCCAGGGGAGCGAACGGG